rnacentral:lncRNA from 1 species
CCGUCUAUUCCACUUAGCACGCGGAGAAGAGUAGAGCCCACCAUCCCUCCAGUUUAUAAACCCUCCAAACCUCCCCGAAUCCAUCACACACAUUCUAUUCCCCUUCUAUUCCUUCCAGACCCUGAACACCUCUCCCCAACCCAAACUGUUCUCCUCUUUCUCCAUGGCCUCGGCUACCAAGAGAGUGACACUCGUCCUAUUCAUCUCCCUUCUGUUCCUCGCACCCUCUCUAGUACAAGCCAGGAAGCUCCGGAGUGAAGCAAAAGCGAAGGUUCCAUCCUUGGAAGCUGGCUUGUUGCUGAGUGCCCUCCCCAGGGGAAGCGCACCACCUUCUUCUCCUAGCAAAGGUGGUCACAAGACCGUCACAGCCAAGGGCACCACUCAGCGGCUGUUGGGAUCGGUACCGAGCCCAGGGGUAGGCCAUUAAGUUCUUCCCCUAUAGCCCCAGAUGAGUUUGGCUUCACUAUAUUAGGAAUUUUUGUUGGUCAGGAUUCACAAUUUUUACCUUUUGUUCCUUACUCCCGUUUCUUCAUCAUCAUUGCUUUGGCUUGUUGUACCGAGUGCAUACAUAAACAAGAAUGAGAAGAAGUGUAUAUAUAUAAAAUAAAUAAAUGUUGGAGAGGGAAUGCAUCAUCCCUUCUGCAUUCUUGUGUCCCUUCAAUUAUAUGCAAAAAAAUAGACAGAAUUUUUACAAUAUAGCAUUGAGCAUAAGCCGAGAUAGCUUCAUGUGGUUGCUUCCAGUUCCUAAUUAAACUUUCAAUGUUGCGUGCUCGUAAUGUAAAAGCACCGGAGCGGGCGACGACGGAGCAUGCGAUAGAAUUUACACGUCAUAUGGUACUCCUAUGUGCACCAUGUCAGGAUGAUAGGAUUUGAUCCGAUUGCCUUUUAUUGAUGGGAUUGCUUUUUUUUUUUUUAAUGUGAGGUGAACCUGCUGCAAAGUUUGUGGGUAAUAAUAUAAUUUAAUCUUUUCUUAAAGAAUUAUAUCAGGUGCCAUCAAUCAUUUUUUUUUUAAAAAAAAUGAUGCAAUAAUUAUCCAUGUUCAAUCUAUGGGAGGCACCUUUCAGAGCCCAAAGUCAGAAGUAGCCCCUCUAGAUGCGGGACGGGUGCGGUCAUUAGGCUAUGCUAGCUUGUUGACUACCAUAUUUUCUGCACGAACCAAAUAAUAAUUCUCAGCAGCUGCCAA